GAUGAACGCUGGCGGCGUGCCUAAUACAUGCAAGUCGAGCGAACAGACGAGGAGCUUGCUCCUCUGACGUUAGCGGCGGAUGGGUGAGUAACACGUGGAUAACCUACCUAUAAGACUGGGAUAACUUCGGGAAACCAGAGCUAAUACCGGAUAAUAUAUUGAACCGCAUGGUUCAAUAGUGAAAGACGGUUUUGCUGUCACUUAUAGAUGGAUCCGCGCCGCAUUAGCUAGUUGGUAAGGUAACGGCUUACCAAGGCGACGAUGCGUAGCCGACCUGAGAGGGUGAUCGGCCACACUGGAACUGAGACACGGUCCAGACUCCUACGGGAGGCAGCAGUAGGGAAUCUUCCGCAAUGGGCGAAAGCCUGACGGAGCAACGCCGCGUGAGUGAUGAAGGUCUUCGGAUCGUAAAACUCUGUUAUUAGGGAAGAACAAAUGUGUAAGUAACUAUGCACGUCUUGACGGUACCUAAUCAGAAAGCCACGGCUAACUACGUG
rnacentral:rRNA from 1 species